GUGCAAGUUAGUAAGGGUCCGGGGUGGAUGCCUCGGCUGCCUGAGGGGACGAAGGGCGUGUUAAGCUGCGAUAAGCCGGGUGGAGGCGCAAAAAGCCUGUGAGGCCCGGAUGCCCGAAUGGGGAAACCCGGCAGGGUGUUGAGCCCUGUCAUCCGCCGAUUAGGCGGAGCCUAACGGGACGAAGUAAAACCUUCUAGUAGUCCCAGGAAAGGAAAUCAAACGAGACUCCCCAAGUAGCGGCGAGCGAAAGGGGACCAGCCCAAACUCUGCGGGUGCCAUGGUGGCAGCCUUAGCUCGCAGAGGGUUGCGGGACGCAUCCGGAGAGGUCUGCCAGCCUCUCAGGGAGUUACAAAACUUCCGCUUAGCCGAAGUGAGCUGGAAUGCUCCGCCACAGAGGGUGAAAGCCCCGUAGGCUAAAGGUGAGAAGUCUCCCGGGGAUGCGAUCCCAAGUACCACGGCCCCCGUGGAAGGUCGUGGGAAUCAGGGGGGACCUCCCUCCAAGGCUAAGUACUACAGGCAGACCGAUAGCGCAUAGUACCGCGAGGGAAAGGUGAAAAGAACCCCGGAAGGGGAGUGAAAUAGAACCUGAAACCCCGGAUCCACAAGCCAGUGGAAGGGUCUUUAUGGCCCGACUGCGUGCCUUUUGCAGAAUGAGCCAGGGAGUUGUCCUCAGCGGCGAGGUUAAGCCGUAAGGCGAAGCCGUAGCGAAAGCGAGUCCGAACAGGGCGCUUUAGUCGCUGGGGGCAGACGCGAAGCGGAACGAUCUACCCAUGCCCAGGGUGAAGGACGGGUAAUGCCGUCUGGAGGCCCGAACGGGUCGGUGCUGCAAAACCGUCCGAUGAGGUGUGGGUAGCGGUGAAAAGCCAAUCGCGUUCCGUGAUAGCUCGUUCUCCCCGAAAUAGGUCGACGCCUAGCGUCGCUCGUUUCUUCCCGGAGGUAGAGCCACUGGUUGGGCUAGGGCCUCGAAAGGGGUACCGAACCCUGCCAAACUCCGAAUGCCGGGAAAGAUAGAGCGGCAGUCAGUCCCCGGGGGAUAAGCUCCGGUGGACAAGAGGGAAACAGCCCAGACCGCCAGCUAAGGUCCCAAAAUCCGGGCUAAGUGGGGAAGGAUGUGCGGCUGCUAAGACAGCUGGGAGGUUGGCUUAGAGGCAGCCAUCCUUUAAACAGUGCGUAACAGCUGACCGGCCGAGCGGCCGUGCGCCGAAAAUUUAGCGGGGCUAAAGCCCGGUACCGAAGCUGCGGGCUCGCGCAAGCGAGCGGUAGGGGAGCGUUCCCUGUGGGUUGAAGUCUCACCGUGAGGUGGGAUGGACUGCAGGGAAGUGAGAAUCCUGGCAUGAGUAGCAGCGAAGACAGGUGAGAAACCUGUCCGCCGGAAGCCUCAGGUUUUGGCGGCAAUGUAAAUCAGCCGCCAGUUAGCCGGGACCCUAAGGUGAGGCCGAAAGGCGUAGCCGAUGGGAAGCGGGUCAACAUUCCCGCGCCAGCGGUGUGGAGCCAGAGUCGUGACGCAGGAGGCUAGGGAGAGCCACCUAUGGAAUGGUGGUCCAAGGUAGUAGGAGGGGGUGGCAGGCAAAUCCGUCACCCCAUACUCCGAGAGCUGAUGGGGUAACUCUCCUGACGCCACACUGCCAAGAAACAACGGCGCUGGUGUUGAAGCACCGCUGCCCGUACCGGAAACCGACACAGGUAGGCUGGGUUAGUAGCCUAAGGCGUCGGGGGAACUCUCCUCAAGGAACUCGGCAAAUUGCCUCCGUACCCUCGGUAGAAGGGGGGCCCGUGGGAGUGAAGCCCUGCGGCAUAAGCUCUUGCGGGUCGCAGAGACCGGGCGGUGCCGACUGUUUAUCAAAAACACAGGACUACGCAAACCCGAAAGGGGAUGUAUGUGGUCUGAAGCCUGGCCAGUGCCCGUAGGUUAAGGGGAAGGGUGCAAGCCCUGAACCGAAGCCCGGGUAAACGCCGGCCGUAACUAUGACGGUCCUAAGGUAGCGAAAUUCCUUGUCGGGUAAGUUCCGACCUGCAUGAAUGGCCCAACGAGUGCCGCGCUGUCUCGAGGAGAGUCCCGGCGAAAUUGUAAUGCCGGUCAAGAUGCCGGCUACCCGCGGCAGGACGGAAAGACCCCGUGAAGCUUCACUGUAGUCUGGUACUGAGUCUUAGCCUGUCCUGCGCAGGAUAGGUGGGAGCCUGUGAAGUCCCUCCUCCGGGAGGGAUGGAGGCGCCGGUGAGAUACCACCCUGGACAGGCUGAGACCCUAACCGAGCCGAGUUAACCUCGGCCGGGACCGUGCCAGAUGGGCAGUUUAGCUGGGGCGGCUGCCUCCUAAAAGGUAACGGAGGCGUCCAAAGGUACCCUCAGGCGGGUCGGAAAUCCGCCGUAGAGUACAAGGGCAGAAGGGUGCCUGACUGUGAGGCAGACAUGCCGAGCAGAGGCGAAAGCCGGGCCUAGUGACCCACCGGUUCCUCGGGGAAGGGCCGGUGAUCAGCGGAUAAAAGCUACUCCGGGGAUAACCUGUGUUGUCCCGCUCCCAGGCAACUGGGAGGCAAUAACGCGGCUUAUAACGGGGGAGCCCUCCUGCCUAACAGGGCGUGGGGUAAUCCCGUGGGAAGUCAGGAGAGGCACCAUGAUCAGUAAAAGACAGAAAGAGAUAAUCAUAGGUACCCUUUUAGGUGAUGGAUAUCUGCAGUCAACAGGGAAAAGAAACGCGAGGUUAAAGCUUGAACACUCGGAAAGGCAAAAAGAUUACAUCUUCUGGAAGUGGGAAGAGCUUAAAAACCUCAUGCAGGACAAGCCCAGAAGGAUAGAAAGGUACAACCCGAGAUGGGGGAAAAGCUACACCUACUAUAGGUGUCAAAGCCACUCAAUGCCCUUUCUGGGAAAACUUAAAAUGCUCUUUUAUGACCAGAAGGGCAAGAAAAGGGUACCUGAAAAGAUAGAAGCCCUUUUGAAGUCCCCCCUUUCUUUAGCGGUAUGGUAUAUGGAUGAUGGAUACUACUACAGAAGGGAUAAGGUGGCUUACAUAUACCUACCCAAGUAUGAAGAAGAGGAACUUCAAAGGCUUAUUAGGACAUUGGAAGUAAACUUUAGUCUCAAGCCGAAACUUGUAUGGAAAAAGGGAUACCCUGUGCUUUACUUUCCAAAAGAGGAAACUCAGAAACUUAUGGAGAUAGUAAAGCCGUGGGUACCAGAGUUUAUGAGAUAUAAAACCUCUCCUGACCCCGUAACGACUGAGGGUGCGUUACCCGAGGGUUCUACCAAAAGGUAGAGCCAAAACGCCGCGCUCCCCACCAACAAAGAGUGGGGAUGAAGAUAUAGUCUAACCCUCCAGGAAACUGGAGAAAGGUUGAACAGGCUAAUCUCCCCCGAGAGCCCACAUCGACGGGGAGGUUUGGUACCUCGAUGUCGGCUCCCCCCAUCCUGGGGCUGAAGCAGGUCCCAAGGGUUGGGCUGUUCGCCCAUUAAAGGGGGACGCGAGCUGGGUUCAGAACGUCGCGAGACAGUUCGGUCCCUAUCCGCCGCGGGCGCAGGAGUCUUGAGGGGGUCCGUCCUUAGUACGAGAGGACCGGGACGGGGCAGGCUCUGGUGUACCGGUUAUCUCUCCAGAGGUAGCGCCGGGUAGCCAUCCUGCUACGGGAUAAGCGCUGAAAGCAUCUAAGCGCGAAGCCCACCCCAAGAUAAGGACUCCCUGAAGGGCCCUGGAAGACUACCAGGUUGAUAGGCAGCAGGUGGAAGCUCCGUAAGGGGUGUAGCCGAGCUGUACUAAUAGCCCGUUCGACUUGCACAC
rfam:Hydrogenobacter thermophilus TK-6 DNA, complete genome.